ACGGGUGAGUAACACGUGGAUAACCUACCUAUAAGACUGGGAUAACUUCGGGAAACCGGAGCUAAUACCGGAUAAUAUAUUGAACCGCAUGGUUCAAUAGUGAAAGACGGUUUUGCUGUCACUUAUAGAUGGAUCCGCGCCGCAUUAGCUAGUUGGUAAGGUAACGGCUUACAAAGGCAACGAUGCGUAGCCGACCUGAGAGGGUGAUCGGCCACACUGGAACUGAGACACGGUCCAG
rnacentral:rRNA from 1 species